rnacentral:rRNA from 1 species
UACGGAGGAUGCGAGCGUUAUCCGGAUUUAUUGGGUUUAAAGGGUGCGUAGGCGGGAUGCCAAGUCAGCGGUAAAAAUGCGGUGCUCAACGCCGUCGAGCCGUUGAAACUGGCGUUCUUGAGUGGGCGAGAAGUAUGCGGAAUGCGUGGUGUAGCGGUGAAAUGCAUAGAUAUCACGCAGAACUCCGAUUGCGAAGGCAGCAUACCGGCGCCCGACUGACGCUGAGGCACGAAAGUGCGGGGAUCAAACAGG